CCUACGGGAGGCUGCAGUGAGGAAUAUUGGUCAAUGGACGAGAGUCUGAACCAGCCAAGUAGCGUGAAGGAUGACUGCCCUAUGGUUUGUAAACUUCUUUUAUAAAGGAAUAAAACGAGGCACGUGUGCCUUUUUGCAUGUACUUUAUGAAUAAGGAUCGGCUAACUCCGUGCCAGCAGCCGCGGUAAUACGGAGGAUCCGAGCGUUAUCCGGAUUUAUUGGGUUUAAAGGGAGCGUAGAUGGGUUGUUAAGUCAGUUGUGAAAGGUUGCGGCUCAACCGUAAAAUUGCAAUUGAUACUGGCAGUCUUGAGUACAGUUGAGGUAGGCGGAAUUCGUGGUGUAGCGGUGAAAUGCUUAGAUAUCACGAAGAACCCCGAUUGCGAAGGCAGCUUACUAAACUGUGACUGACAUUGAUGCUCGAAAGUGUGGGUAUCAAACAGGAUUAGAUACCCUUGUAGUC
rnacentral:rRNA from 1 species